rnacentral:rRNA from 1 species
AUCUGGGAGGACCAUCUCCUAAGGCUAAAUACUCUCUAGUGACCGAUAGUGAACCAGUACCGUGAGGGAAAGGUGAAAAGCACCCCGGAAGGGGAGUGAAAUAGAACCUGAAACCGUGUGCUUACAAGUAGUCAGAGCCCGUUAAUGGGUGAUGGCGUGCCUUUUGUAGAAUGAACCGGCGAGUUACGAUUUGAUGCAAGGUUAAGCAGUAAAUGUGGAGCCGUAGCGAAAGCGAGUCUGAAUAGGGCGUUUAGUAUUUGGUCGUAGACCCGAAACCAGGUGAUCUACCCUUGGUCAGGUUGAAGUUCAGGUAACACUGAAUGGAGGACCGAACCGACUUACGUUGAAAAGUGAGCGGAUGAACUGAGGGUAGCGGAGAAAUUCCAAUCGAACCUGGAGAUAGCUGGUUCUCUCCGAAAUAGCUUUAGGGCUAGCCUCAAGUGAUGAUUAUUGGAGGUAGAGCACUGUUUGGACGAGGGGCCCCUCUCGGGUUACCGAAUUCAGACAAACUCCGAAUGCCAAUUAAUUUAACUUGGGAGUCAGAACAUGGGUGAUAAGGUCCGUGUUCGAAAGGGAAACAGCCCAGACCACCAGCUAAGGUCCCAAAAUAUAUGUUAAGUGGAAAAGGAUGUGGCGUUGCCCAGACAACUAGGAUGUUGGCUUAGAAGCAGCCAUCAUUUAAAGAGUGCGUAAUAGCUCACUAGUCGAGUGACACUGCGCCGAAAAUGUACCGGGGCUAAACAUAUUACCGAAGCUGUGGAUUGUCCUUUGGACAAUGGUAGGAGAGCGUUCUAAGGGCGUUGAAGCAUGAUCGUAAGGACAUGUGGAGCGCUUAGAAGUGAGAAUGCCGGUGUGAGUAGCGAAAGACGGGUGAGAAUCCCGUCCACCGAUUGACUAAGGUUUCCAGAGGAAGGCUCGUCCGCUCUGGGUUAGUCGGGUCCUAAGCUGAGGCCGACAGGCGUAGGCGAUGGAUAACAGGUUGAUAUUCCUGUACCACCUAUAAUCGUUUUAAUCGAUGGGGGGACGCAGUAGGAUAGGCGAAGCGUGCGAUUGGAUUGCACGUCUAAGCAGUAAGGCUGAGUAUUAGGCAAAUCCGGUACUCGUU